GGUUCAUUCAAAUUUCUUCCCUAUCAACUUUCGAUGGUAGGAUAGUGGCCUACCAUGGUUUCAAUGGGUAACGGGGAAUUAGGGUUCUAUUCUGGAGAAGGAGCCUGAGAAACGGCUACUACAUCCAAUGGAUGCAGCAGGCGCGCAAAUUACCCAAUCCCGACCGGGGAGGUAGUGACAAUAAAUACUGAUACAGGGCUCUUUUGAGUCUUGUAAUUGGAAUGAGUACAAUUUAAAUCCCUUAACGAGGAACAAUUGGAGGGCAAGUCUGGUGCCAGCAGCCGCGGUAAUUCCAGCUCCAAUAGCGUAUAUUAAAGUUGUUGCAGUUAAAAAGCUCGUAGUUG
rnacentral:rRNA from 1 species